GGGGACUCAUGGGAGACUGCCGGGGUCAACUCGGAGGAAGGUGGGGAUGACGUCAAAUCAUCAUGCCCCUUAUGUCUUGGGCUUCACGCAUGCUACAAUGGCCGGUACAAAGGGCUGCGAUACCGCGAGGUGGAGCGAAUCCCAAAAAGCCGGUCUCAGUUCGGAUUGGGGUCUGCAACUCGACCCCAUGAAGUCGGAGUCGCUAGUAAUCGCAGAUCAGCAACGCUGCGGUGAAUACGUUCCCGGGCCUUGUACACACCGCCCGUCACACCAUGGGAGUUUGUUGCACCAGAAGCAGGUAGCUUAACCUUCGGGAGGGCGCUUGCCACGGUGUGGCCGAUGACUGGGGUGAAGUCGGAACAAGGUAGCCGUAG
rnacentral:rRNA from 1 species